rnacentral:rRNA from 1 species
GACGAACGCGUGGCGGCGUGGAUUAGGCAUGCAAGUCGAACGGUAUCAUCCUUCGGGGUGAGAGAGUGGCGAACUGGUGAGUAACACGUAAGUUAUCUACCCUCAAGACGGGGACAACCCAGGGAAACUUGGGCUAAUACCGGAUGUGAGCAACUUUUUAGUGUUUGAAAGGUGGCGUAAGCUGUCGCUUGGGGAUGAGCCUGCGUCCUAUUAGUUAGUUGGUGAGGUAACGGCUCACCUAGGCAAUGAUAGGUAGGCGGCCUUAACGGGUGGUCGCCCACACUGGGAUUGAGAUACGGCCCAGACUCCUACGGGAGGCAGCAGUCGAGAAUAGUCUACAAUGGUCGGAAGACUGAUAGUGCGACGCCGCGUGAACGAUGAAUCCCUUCGGGGUGUAAAGUUCUUUUAUAUGUGAGCAGUGCUUCUUAUAUUAACAGUAUGGGGAGAGAGAUAUUAGCAUAUGAAUAAGCAACGGCUAACUCCGUG